GACUACGAAGUUGAGUUUGACAGCUUAUGUGUGUGAAGUGGAGGUAAACAAGAAAAGAUAAAAAAGUAAUAAAUUUUCAAACGUACCGUUUUAUGCUAUUUUCGUUACUCAGUUUGAAAUGGUAAAUUGGAAUGAUUUUAAAAAUUUUUGACGAUACUAUUUUAGUUGAUAAAUAUAAAAUGAAUACAAUAAGUGAUGCUUAUUUUCCCGAGUAAAAAACAGCUGUAGGUAUCUGAAAAAAAGUAAACAACAUUUCAAAACAGCAAUUAUGAAUUAAAAUCUAUUCAUAUGCUUAAAAUUUUUUCAAUGUGCUUUAGAACUGGAUGUGUUCUACUCAUGGUGAGCCAUUAUCAAGUUAUACGUAUGGUGUGUUGGUGAACUUGCCGGAUGUUUUCAGCUUCGCUGCUGGAAUUAGCAGUUUGGUAGUCAAACGCCAACGGGUAUUCCAGGCUGGUUACCUCCUGAUAGUUUAAUUAGAUGAGGUAUACUAUGGCGGAUUUGGUGCAUUUUCCCCUUGUUUAUGUCAUCAUCUUCAAGUGCCGAACCGCGCACAAUGAAAAUCGAUGCAAAAACUACUUCGGAUAUAUAUCAGGCCACAAGAUUGAGAGAUCUGUUUCGGACGAGUUGGAAAACUCUCAAAUUUGGAACCAUUUCGUGGGAGUUUUCUCAGGUACAUGAGGUAAUGCCGAAAGUUGAAGAAUUGCUGAUGCUGGGAGAAAAUAAUUACUAAAAAAUAAAAACUAUAUCAGGAUACAAAAUGUUUCAAAA